CUCCAUCCUGCAGACAGCCAUGCAGAUGCCGUGGUCCCUCCUCUGCCUGCUGGCAGCUCCCCUGGGUGUCCUGUCUGAACUCACACUGCAGGAGUCAGGGCCAGGACUGGUGAAGCCCUCACAGACCCUCUCUCUCACCUGUGUUGUGUCCGGAGGCUCCGUCACCAGCAGUUACUACUGGAACUGGAUCCGCCAGCGCCCUGGGAGGGGACUGGAAUGGAUGGGGUACUGGACAGGUAGCACAAGCUACAACCCGGCAUUCCAGGGACGCAUCUCCAUCACUGCUGACACGGCCAAGAACCAGUUCUCCCUGCAGCUGAGCUCCAUGACCGCCGAGGACACGGCCGUGUAUUACUGUGCAAGAGACACAGUCCUGCAAGUGUCAUCGGGAGCAGUUGUCUUUCUGUCACUGCCCUAUUUCACGCAGCAUAAUACCCUCCGGUUCUGUCCACACUGA